UGCCUUAGUCACUGGUUGCAGCCUACCAUUGCUUACCUGUUCAAGCAAAUGAACAAGAUGUUAGUAAGUGAGGGACCCAAGACGUGAUGAACUGAUACAGAUUUUUGACUCUUCCAAGGAGCUUCAGCUGAAAAUCAAAGUCAAGUCCUCAAAUCCAGAUCCCACUUUCCAGAUGAGAUGACUGAAUGUGGUUCAAGAAAAAUAUGAAAUCAUUUGAAAGAUGAACAAAGUUUCCAUAUUGCCUUGAAUACUCACUUUAGAUGGAUGUUAAAGAAGAGUUUUUCUUUCCAUCAGUGCCUGUACUUGACCUUGUCCUGGGACACCCAGACAUGUGGGUCCUUUGUUUUCUUCCCUGCUGUUCCACAGGUCUCUCUGAAUUGAUGCUGGGAGCGAUGUCUACUGAAAUUCAAACCAAAGACUCAUAAGAUAAUACAUACAUGAGUAUUAAAUAUUUCAGAUUCUCUGGGCACUACCUUUAUGCUGAUUCUUUGAAAUGUCAGUGCAGAUUAAAUCAGUCGGCUUGUGUUCUUUUGGAAGAGAGGCGUCUGCAUGGGAGUUAGUAAUGACCUCAGCAAAAAACACCGGUUUGCUAGGUUGCAGGGAGGAAGAGAGGAAAGAUGGGUUCCUAGAAAACAUCAGGUAAGAUGUCCUGAGCCAUUCCCAAAUGUUUGGCCUAUGGGUACUGAGUGCUUGACUAUCCUACAGGAAAGGACAAAUUAUAUUUUAUAGAGUAAGCCACGGGCACAGGUUGAAAAUGAGAGGAUAUAGAAUCCUCUGUUCCCCUGAACUCCCUGAGGACUGACUGCAGAAUGCAGAAGGCAAAUCAGAGACAGACCCCAUUUUGCAAGACGUUCCACCUUUGUCAAUACAUGUUAAGGGUGUCCAUUUUGAGAAUACUCAUAUUACCUUUUCAAUUCCCUCCUGUAGAAAAAACUUAUUUUUUAGGAAAAAAGAAAGAGAAAAACUAGAGGAAAACUUAGUGGAAUCAAAGUCCAUUUGGGAAUAUGUUGCCCAGAUGCCGAGACACCAACAGAAGGACUGUGCAGAGAGAAGCAGUUUUCAUAAGCAAUUCAUGCCACA